UGGGGAAUCUUGGACAAUGGGCGCAAGCCUGAUCCAGCCAUGCCGCGUGAGUGAAGAAGGCCUUAGGGUUGUAAAGCUCUUUUGGCAGGGACGAUAAUGACGGUACCUGCAGAAUAAGCCCCGGCAAACUUCGUGCCAGCAGCCGCGGUAAUACGAAGGGGGCUAGCGUUGUUCGGAUUUACUGGGCGUAAAGCGCACGUAGGCGGAUUGUUAAGUCAGGGGUGAAAUCCCGGAGCUCAACUCCGGAACUGCCUUUGAUACUGGCAAUCUUGAGGCUGGAAGAGGUUGGUAGAAUUCCCAGUGUAGAGGUGAAAUUCGUAGGUAUUGGGAAGAAUACCAGUGGCGAAGGCGGCCAACUGGUCCAGAUCUGACGCUGAGGUGCGAAAGCGUGGGGAGCAAACA
rnacentral:rRNA from 1 species